rnacentral:rRNA from 1 species
GACGAACGCUGGCGGCGUGCUUAACACAUGCAAGUCGAACGGAAAGGCCCUGCUUUUGUGGGGUGCUCGAGUGGCGAACGGGUGAGUAACACGUGAGUAACCUGCCCUUGAAUUUGGGAUAACUUCAGGAAACUGGGGCUAAUACCGGAUAGGAGCUCCUGCUGCAUGGUGUGGGUUGGAAAGUUUCGGCGGUUGUGGAUGGACUCGCGGCUUAUCAGCUUGUUGGUGGGGUAGUUGCUUACCAAGGCUUUGACGGGUAGCCGGCAUUGGAGGGUGGCCGGCCACAUUGGGACUGCGAUACGGCGCAGACUCCUACGGGAGGCAGCAGUGGGGAAUAUUGCACAAUGGGCGGAAGCCUGAUGCAGCAACGCCGCGUGCGGGAUGACGGCCUUCGGGUUGUAAACCGCUGUCGCCUGUGACGAAGCGUGAGUGACGGUAAUGGGUAAAGAAGCACCGGCUAACUACGUG